rnacentral:rRNA from 1 species
UAGGGAAUCUUCCGCAAUGGGCGAAAGCCUGACGGAGCAACGCCGCGUGAGUGAUGAAGGUCUUCGGAUCGUAAAACUCUGUUAUUAGGGAAGAACAAAUGUGUAAGUAACUAUGCACGUCUUGACGGUACCUAAUCAGAAAGCCACGGCUAACUACGUGCCAGCAGCCGCGGUAAUACGUAGGUGGCAAGCGUUAUCCGGAAUUAUUGGGCGUAAAGCGCGCGUAGGCGGUUUUUUAAGUCUGAUGUGAAAGCCCACGGCUCAACCGGGGAGGGUCAUUGGAAACUGGAAAACUUGAGUGCAGAAGAGGAAAGUGGAAUUCCAUGUGUAGCGGUGAAAUGCGCAGAGCUAUGGAGGAACACCAGUGGCGAAGGCGACUUUCUGGUCUGUAACUGACGCUGAUGUGCGAAAGCGUGGGGAUCAAACAGG